AUACGUAGGUGGCGAGCGUUGUCCGGAAUUAUUGGGCGUAAAGCGCGCGCAGGCGGGAAAGUAAGUCUACUCUAAAAGUGCGGGGCUCAACCCCGUGAUGGGGUGGAAACUGCUUUUCUUGAGUGCCGGAGAGGAAAGUGGAAUUCCCAGUGUAGCGGUGAAAUGCGUAGAUAUUGGGAGGAACACCAGUGGCGAAGGCGACUUUCUGGACGGUGUCUGACGCUGAGGCGCGAAAGCCAGGGGAGCGAACGGGAUUAGAUACCCCGGUAGUCCUGGCCGUAAACGAUGGGUACUAGGUGUAGGGGGUAUCGACCCCCCCUGUGCCGGAGUUAACGCAAUAAGUACCCCGCCUGGGGAGUACGGCCGCAAGGUUGA
rnacentral:rRNA from 1 species